GACGAACGCUGGCGGCGUGCCUAAUACAUGCAAGUCGAGCGAAUCGGAGGGAGCUUGCUCCCAAACAUUAGCGGCGGACGGGUGAGUAACACGUGGGCAACCUGCCUGUAAGACUGGGAUAACUUCGGGAAACCGGAGCUAAUACCGGAUAAUCUUUUUCCUCUCAUGAGGGAAAGCUGAAAGACGGUUUCGGCUGUCACUUACAGAUGGGCCCGCGGCGCAUUAGCUAGUUGGUGAGGUAACGGCUCACCAAGGCGACGAUGCGUAGCCGACCUGAGAGGGUGAUCGGCCACACUGGGACUGAGACACGGCCCAGACUCCUACGGGAGGCAGCAGUAGGGAAUCUUCCGCAAUGGACGAAAGUCUGACGGAGCAACGCCGCGUGAGCGAAGAAGGCCUUCGGGUCGUAAAGCUCUGUUGUCAGGGAAGAACAAGUGCCGGAGUAACUGCCGGCACCUUGACGGUACCUGACCAGAAAGCCACGGCUAACUACGUGCCAGCAGCCGCGGUAAUACGUAGGUGGCAAGCGUUGUCCGGAAUUAUUGGGCGUAAAGCGCGCGCAGGCGGUCCUUUAAGUCUGAUGUGAAAGCCCACGGCUCAACCGUGGAGGGUCAUUGGAAACUGGGGGACUUGAGUGCAGAAGAGGAGAGUGGAAUUCCACGUGUAGCGGUGAAAUGCGUAGAGAUGUGGAGGAACACCAGUGGCGAA
rnacentral:rRNA from 1 species